AUUGAACGCUGGCGGCAGGCCUAACUCCUGCAAGUCGAGCGAGCGGCGGACGGGUGAGUAAUGUAUGGGGACUGCCCCAUAGAGGGGGAUAACUACUGUAAACGGUAGCUACUCCCGCAUACUAUCGGAUAACCCAUAUGGGAUUAGCUAGUAGGUGAGGUAAUGGCUCACCUAGGCGACGAUCCCUAGCUGGUCUGAGAGGCUGAUCAGCCACGCUGGGACUGAGACACGGCCCAGACUCCUACGGAGGCAGCAGUGGGGAAUAUUGAACAAUGGGCGCAAGCCUGAUGCAGCCAUGCCGCGUGUAUGAAGAAGGCCCUAGGGUUGUAAAGUACUUUCAGUCGGGAGGCGUUACCGACAGAAGAAGCAACGGCUAAAGACGUGCCAGCAGCCGCGGUAAUUC
rnacentral:rRNA from 1 species